UCACUUCAUCAUAGACAGCAAGUGGCAAAAGAACAACAUUAAAUUGGAGCGAAUUACAAAAAUUCAAGGCAACAAUAUGAAAUUUCACAUACUAUUUGCAUUUAGUCUGCUGCAAAUUUGUCUGACUCAACAGCACUAUGGAGGUAAUCAAUAUUUAAUAUACUACAACAAUCUACCCAUGGGAAUUGUGCGAAUACAAAUUGGGCCUAUGUCAUACACAGCCGGCGUGCAACCUCAAGCAGUAAAUACACCAAAUGGGAAUGCAGCUCAAGCAACAGCUACAAAUCAACAAAAGUAUGGCAUUUUCAAUAAAGCUUUCGCAGUUGCGAUACCUAAAAUCCGUUAUAAUUACCAACCAGUUAGAAGUGACUUUCGUAGAAGGAUUAUAUUUCAUUCAAAUUAAAAAAGCAAAAACAAAAUACAAAUUAUGAUUAUAAAAUAAUAAUAAAAUAUAGGUUGUCAAGGUCUUGAAAGGUAUUGAUAUAACCUACAAAACGACGCUAUGCAUGAUUAGUUUGGAUAUUGCGUUCAACAGUUAUAGACGUGUAAACAUGAAGUUCACUAACGCCGAAAUUCGCGCUAUUUCGAAGUUUCAAAUCCGCUAGAGAAACGUUUCGUGAGAUUAAUGGUGUUUUGGGGGAGGGUACUCUAUCACUUCAAACUGCGGAGGAAUGGUUUCGACGAUUCAGAGGGGGUGAAAACGACAACAUGAAUAAGCCAGCCGGCGGAAGACCUGUGACGACGAAUACCGAUCAAAUCAUGGAAAACAUCGAGUAAGACCGGCAUGUGUCAUCUCGUGACAUCGUCCAAAACAUUUUAAACCAUCUGCAGAAGGCUGGAUACACAAAAAAGCUUGAUGUUUGGGUGCCGCAUGACUUGGAGCAAAAAAACCUACUGGAACGAAUUAACGCCUGCGAUAUGCUGAUGAAAUGGAACGAACUCUACCGAUUUUUGAAGCGGAUGGUGAUUGGCGACGAAAAAUGGAUCACAUACGACAAUAUCAAGCGAAAACGGUCGUCGUCGAAGGCCGGUUAAUCGUCCCAAACAAUGGUCAAGCCGGGAUUAACGGCCAGGAAGAAAGAAAAGUGGGUGUCUGAGUUCUUCGCAAAUAAGGUGGAGGGGCUUCUAUGAACAACUGAUAAUUCGAAAAGCGUCAGCGAAUUUCUAGCUUUCAACAAAGUACCACAACUAACACGAACAUUUAGGAUGCCUGCAAGAUCUCGAUGCAGUAUCCCUGGUGUUUGAAAAUAUUUAUUAUGAGCAAUAAAUUCAAAUUUACCACAGGUAAAAGUAAAGGAGAGAGAGAGGUGGCGCACUAUCGUCGAUUCGGCUAUAACUGGCUAAACGGUUGCAACGCCAAUCACAUACAUAUAUCACAAAAGUAUAUAUAUAUUAGAUUUAUUUAUUUUUUGUAUACAUACAUAUUCGAAACAUAGUCAGCGAUAUCGCCAAGGCACGCUUAGAAAUACAUUUGCUGUCAUACAUACACACAUAUGUAUGUGAAUAAACAAUAAAUAAAUAAUUUAUAUAUUUAAAAUUAUUGCGAUAAGAACCAGAGUAAUGUAUACAUACAUACAUAAUCAGAAUGCCCGCUGUAUAUUAGUGAAACGUAUAAAAGCGUAAAAGCUCGCAAAAUAUUUCGUUCGACAACGACCGUCAGAGUCUGCACAAGUGUUUCAAUUUAAGCUCAGUUAAGAAUAUUAUUAAAAAAAAAAAAUAAAUUUAAUAAUUCAAAAUGAAAUUUACGAUUUUACUAUUGACAUUUUGUCUGCUGCAAAUAUUUCAAGUUCAAGCCCGAUAUGUGAACCAUGAUGAGCCGCUAUUUCCAAUUCGAGACCGAUAUAUGGACCAUCACGACAAUACAUUAACUUACGGUGGUGAUGCCGCGACAGAAGAUGAUACUGUUACGGACGAACAAAGGAAAAGUGCACUCAGGGUGGUAAAUAAUGCUAACAAAAAAUCAGACGAUGGCAUCCCUCGUUUAAAUGAAGAACAUUAUAGCCCAAUUUACACCUAUUUCUCAAACCUAUUUGGAAAGUAAGACUACAACGAUGACGGAAUAUCUGACUCUUCAAAUAAAAAUAAUAAGAUGUUUCAAUCAUAAUUGCAUUCAACGACAGAUCAUCGCGGUAGUAAAGUGAACGUCAACAGAUAGAAAAUGCUGUGAAAAAUAGCAUAAUAACAUAAUACCUAAUUAUGAAAUGUAUGAACGCUGAAAUAAAUAAAACUCACUUUUUCAUAAAACAACAACAAGUUGUUACACAAAAAUAUUUCAAAAA